rnacentral:rRNA from 11 species
GGUUCCGGCCAUGAAAGCCUUCAACAUCACCAUAACCUGUUUGAUCUUACAAGCUAAUCAUGUUCGUUUCUUAUCAGUACUUGCAUAGGAGACUGCCAAAGAAUACCAGGUGCUGUAGGCU